rnacentral:lncRNA from 1 species
UUGUAUUGGUUUUGCCAUACAUCAUUUUUUAAAAAAGAUUCUGACAUGGAAAUUGAUCUCCAGGAAUUGGCUGUGGCAAAGACUGGGGGUAAAGGUGGAGAUGGUCCUGAUGUCAGGGAGGAGGUUGCAUCAAAUACAGAGCCUGUUGAAAUGCCAGAAGCAGGCAAGAGUACUGGAGUGGGGUGCCAUUGCCUUCUCUGAUAAAAGCUCUAGAGAAGAUUAACUGAAGGUGAAGGGCAACCAUUUGCUUGAAAGAAGAUAAACUGGAACCAUCUAUGCUGUUCUUAUGUUGGAUAUUUGACCGUUAAAUUUCCAUCAAUAAUGUUUUCAUUUUUUACUUGCACAUUUUUUGUUAAAUUUAUCCCUGGGUAUUUAAUGUUACUGAAAAUUCAUGGUUGCGAUUUUUAUCGUCUAGUUGAGGAUGUAUGUAGAGAUAGAAUGUUUGUAUAUAGACUUUCUGUCCAACAAUUCCUCUAAAUAUGCAUAUUAAUUCCACAAAUUUAGAUCUAGAUUCUUUUUGCUUUUCAAAAUAUACUAUUAUAUUUGAAUAUCAACAGUUUCUACUGGCUUAAAUCUUAUACCUUUUCUCAUUUUGCAGCACUGAACAAACCUAGCCAGAAUAGUCUUGACUAAAGCAGGUGAUAGUCGGCAUUUUUCCUGACAGGAAAUGAAAAAUUUUCUCCAUUUCAACCUGUUUACAUUGCUUUUUUGCAGAUACACUUUCUCGGAAUAAGUUCCCUUUUAUUCCUGGUUUUCUGUCUUUAAUAUAGAUUGAUUUUCAUCAAACACUUACAGUGCAACAACUGAGAUGAUCAUAGAAUUGUUUUCCCUCCAUUUUUCUAUUAAUGUGGUGGAUUACAUUGGUAACCUUAUAGAUUUAAACCAAUCUUGAACUUCUAGGGUUAAAAAAAUUUGGUCAUGACAUAUUCUUUAUGAAUUAUCUAUGUGUUAAUACAUAUCCAUACAUAUAUAUACCCAUAUAUAAAAAAUUCAUAUAAAAGCCUUUGGUCUUCUCUUGAAUAAAUGGGU